rnacentral:rRNA from 1 species
CACGUAGGGUGCGAGCGUUGUCCGGAAUUAUUGGGCGUAAAGAGCUCGUAGGCGGUUUGUCGCGUCUGCUGUGAAAACUCGGGGCUUAACCCCGGGCCUGCAGUGGGUACGGGCAGACUAGAGUGCGGUAGGGGAGACUGGAAUUCCUGGUGUAGCGGUGAAAUGCGUAGAUAUCUGGAGGAACACCGGUGGCGAAGGCGGCGUCCUGGACCAAUACUGACACUGAGGAGCGAAAGCCAGGGGAGCAAACGGG